UACAGAGGGUGCGAGCGUUAAUCGGAAUUACUGGGCGUAAAGGGCGCGUAGGCGGUCGUGUAAGUCAGAUGUGAAAGACCUUGGCUCAACCAGGGAAUUGCAUAUGAUACUGCAUAACUAGAGUAUGGUAGAGGAAAGUGGAAUUUCCGGUGUAGCGGUGAAAUGCGUAGAUACCGGAAGGAACACCAGUGGCGAAGGCGACUUUCUGGACCAAUACUGACGCUGAGGCGCGAAAGCGUGGGGAGCAAACAGG
rnacentral:rRNA from 1 species